AGGUCACCGCUAUUGGGAUUCGGCUAAGCCAUGCAAGUGGUGGGCGUUCCGAAAGGAAUGGCCCCGCGCACGGCUCAGUAACACGUAGUUAACCUAACCUCGGGACGGGGACAACGCCGGGAAACUGGCGAUAAUCCCCGAUAGGCGAGAGACGCUGGAAUGCCUUCUCGUCCAAAUCCUCCGGGGCCCGAGGAUGGAACUGCGGCCUAUCAGGCUGUUGGUGGUGUAACGGACUACCAAACCGACAACGGGUACGGGCGAUGUGAGUCGGAGCCCGGAGAUGGGGACUGAGACAAGGCCCCAGGCCCUACGGGGCGCAGCAGGCGCGAAAACUCCGCAAUGUGCGAAAGCAUGACGGGGGAAUCCGGGGGUGCCGUUGGUCUUUUUGAUCGGCGGCUUUUCGGGAGUACAAAAAGCUCUCGGAAUAAGGGCUGGGCAAGUCUGGUGCCAGCCCCCGCGGUAAUACCAGCAGCCCAAGUGGUGGCCCCGAUUAUUGGGCCUAAAGCGCUCGUAGCCGGGCUAGCAAGUCCUUUUGUGAAAUCGGAACGGCUUUAACCGUGUCGGCAUGCAAGGGAUUAUUGCCUGGGUCUUGAGGCGCGGGAAGACCUCUGAGGGUACUCCCGGGGGUAGCGGGNNAAAUGCUCUANANUCCNUUGGGGGANCCACCAGUGGNCNANGGCGUCAGANCNAGAACNGGACCUGACGGUGANGGGGCGNAAGGCUAGGGGCGCNANCGGGAUUANAUNACCCCGGUAGUCCUNNCUGUAAAGCAUGCGGGCCAGGUGUCUAGUGUUCCUCNAGAGCACUAGGUGCCGGAGGGAAGCCGUUAAGCCCGCCGCCUGGGAAGUACGGCCGCAAGGCUGAAACUUAAAGAAAUUGGCGGGGGAGCACACAAGAGGUGGGACCUGCGGUUCAAUUGGAUUCAACGCCGGAAAACUCACCAGGGGCGACAGUUGUUUGAGGGCCAAGUUGACGACUUUGCCAGACUAGCUGAGAGGUGGUGCAUGGCCGCCGUCAGCUCGUACCGUGAGGCGUCCUCCCCACCUGAGGUAACGGGCGAGAUCCUCGCCCUUAGUUGCCAUCAGUGGGAAAGCUGGGCACUCUAGGGGGACCGCUGGCGCUAAGUCAGAGGAAGGAGAGGGCGGCGGUAGGUCAGUAUGCCCCGAAUUCCCUGGGCUACACGCGGGUCACAAUGCGCAGGACAAUGGGAUGCAACCCCGUAAGGGGAAGCCAAACCCCUAAACCUGCGCUCGGUUCGGAUCGAGGGCUGUAACUCGCCCUCGUGAAGCUGGAAUCUCUAGUAAUCGCGUGCCAACACCGCGCGGUGAAUACGUCCCUGCUCCUUGCACACACCGCCCGUCAAAGCACUCGAGUAGGGUCUGGAUGAGGCUAGUUCAAGUUGGGCUGUUCGAAUCCGGGUUUUGCAAGAGGG
rnacentral:rRNA from 1 species